CAGUGGCUCAGGCAGGCAGGUGGCAGGAACCAGGCCCGCGGUGGAGGGGUGCCCUUGUUGCCCACGUGUCCCACGAUCAGUUGCGCAGUCUGCCGCUCCGCCUGGCACCGACGGCCCCAUUCGGCCAGUCGGUCUUUCCCCAGGCCCCCAGGGAACAUGACCACCAGCUCCAGGCCGUCGCCGCCCGGAUAGGAACAAGCCUGGCACAGCGCUGACAAGUAGCCCAGCAUGGCAUUCCACUGGCCGCCACAAACCCAAUCCGUCUGGUAGCCACCAUAGAGCCGCGGCAGCGCCGAACCCGCAUCUACCAAUACCCGAGCCCCAGGCAGCGGAGGGGGCGGCGGCGGAUGCAGCCCUGGCGGCGCUUGGCCGUGAUGGUGGAAAUGGUCUUUGAUGGAGAGGGCAGAGGGAAUGAGCCGCAUCCUUAGAGUGCCAAGAAAUAGACGCUGCAGCCGUGGUAGAGCAGUUGCUUAGCAUGUGCAAGACCAAGAGCUCCAGCCCCAGCACUGGCAAAAAGAAGGGAAGAGAAAGGAGACCAACGACAAGAUUUUGACUACCCAUUAUUAACACUUGUUACUGGGAGAUCUCCCAACGUGAAACCAGCUUUCAUUCAAAUGAAGAUUUAGAGCAUUUUUGUCAGUAAGGGCAAUCACUCUGGUGAACCAGGAUCAUAAUUGACCAUCCAGAGCAAUAAUUCUGGAUCAGCACAUCAGCAAAACCUGUGAAUGAUUCUGAACAGGACUUUCUCAAGCCUAACGCUAGAUUUCAAGCCUUAGAAACACUGAGUGUAGAAAUCUGUUCCUUUAGUAGUGCCAAAGAUAAACGAAGCCAGACACAGUGUUGUAAA